AUACGGAGGGUCCGAGCGUUAUCCGGAAUCAUUGGGUUUAAAGGGUCCGUAGGGGGAAUCUAAGUCAGUGGUGAAAUCUUGCAGCUCAACUGUAAAAUUGCCAUUGAUACUGGAUUUCUUGAAUUAGUGUGAAGUGGUUAGAAUGUGUAGUGUAGCGGUGAAAUGCAUAGAUAUUACACAGAAUACCAAUUGCGAAGGCAGAUCACUAACACUAUAUUGACGCUGAGGGACGAAAGCGUGGGGAGCGAACAGGAUUAGAUACCCUAGUAGUCC
rnacentral:rRNA from 1 species